GACGAACGCUGGCGGCGUGCCUAAUACAUGCAAGUCGAACGAGAGCGACCGGUGCUUGCACUGGUCAAUCUAGUGGCGAACGGGUGAGUAACACGUGGGUAACCUGCCUAUCAGAGGGGGAUAACAUCCGGAAACGGAUGCUAAAACCGCAUAGGUCUUCGAGCCGCAUGGCUUGAAGAGGAAAAGAGGCGCAAGCUUCUGCUGAUGGAUGGACCCGCGGUGCAUUAGCUAGUUGGUGAGGUAACGGCUCACCAAGGCCGUGAUGCAUAGCCGACCUGAGAGGGUGAUCGGCCACAUUGGGACUGAGACACGGCCCAAACUCCUACGGGAGGCAGCAGUAGGGAAUCUUCCGCAAUGGACGCAAGUCUGACGGAGCAACGCCGCGUGAGUGAAGAAGGUUUUCGGAUCGUAAAACUCUGUUGUUAGAGAAGAACAAGUGCUAGAGUAACUGUUA
rnacentral:rRNA from 1 species